GAUGAACGCUGGCGGCGUGCUUAACACAUGCAAGUUGAACGAAGUGGCGGAUGGGCGAGUAACCCGUGAGGAACCUGCCUUUCACAGGGGAAUAACACUGGGAAACCAGUGCUAAUACCGCAUAGUGAAAGUUGGCCUUGCGCCUGAUUAGCUAGUAGGUGAGGUAACGGCCCACCUAGGUGAUGAUCAGUAGCCGGACUGGAGGGUGAUCCGCCGCAUUGGGACUGGGACACGGCCCGGACGCCUACUGGAGGAAGGAGUGGGGAAUAUUGGGCAAUUGCGCAAGCCUGAACCAGCAACGCCGCGUGAAGGAAGACGGUCUUCGGAUUGUAAACUUCUUUAGACAGGGACGCGGUACCUGUAGAAUAAGCCACGGCUAACUACGUGCCAGCAGCCGCGGUAAUAC
rnacentral:rRNA from 1 species